rnacentral:lncRNA from 1 species
CGGACUGUUUCUGUGGCCUUCUGGGGCUGUCCUUGGGGAAUUCUGUUGGGACGGACUGUUUCUGUGGCCUUCUGGGGCUGUCCUUGGGGAAUUCUGUUGGGACAAACUGUUUCUGCAGCAUUCUGGGGCCAUAGUUGGGAAAUUCUGUUGGGACGGACUGUUUCUGUGGCAUUCUGGGGCUGUCGUUGGGGAAUUCUGUUGGGAUGGACUGUUUCUGCACCUGUCUGUUGGACAAGCAGUUAAGCCCCUCAUGAGUAGAGAGACCCUGCCUCGUCCAUCCUUGUGCCUCCAGGGUCUAGCCCCAUGCCUGCAUGGCCGCCAUUCCUGGACCUGGACUUGACAUCCUGUUCUGAGUUGCAGUAGUUGUUCCGUAGUUACAAAGCAGUGUGUGCACGGGGAGAGGGCAGUGGCAAGGGAGCACCUGCACAGGGCACCAGGCCUCUCCAGGGAUGUGGACAUGGGGGCUGGACUCCCAGCUGCAGACCUGCUGUGGGGUGCCUCUGAUCAGGACUUCGGGGUGCCUCUGAGCAGGACUUCUUCUGAAGCAAGACUAACGGGAGCCUGGAGGCGACGGGAGAAGCCUGUUCAGAGUCCCCGGGAUGAAGCGGGCCCCUAGUGAGCGGGACCUGCUGGCUAGCUGGGACCCCCCAUUCUCUCUGUGUCAAAUGGGCAUGCUUGCUCUUCCCUCUUGAAGUAUGGUGAGGAUUAAAUAAUGGAGAAGGUGUAGACAGCUCUAAAACCCAAUGAGUGCGGCUGUCGUCAAUAUGCAGGCCUCUCCGUAAACCAGCGUUAAAGAGCUCUGCAGAGUUUUGCAGACAGUGAGGAAGCCGUGUGCUUCCCGGCAUGCAUCCUUUAUAUGUUUCUCUGGGUGUUUGUUUCCAAUUAGAAUAAUCAAUUACACACUUGCCAGGUGUCUCAUGUAUGAGCCAGUUGGGAAGAUUAAAACUGGACAUUAAUGCAGCAAGAGGAGGUGCUUAACUCGUGUGAUAAGGUAGCAAAAACCAGGGUGAGAAUAAAACACUUUCGGGAAAACUAAACAGCGGACUCAGUAUCUGUCACCAAACUGUGGCCAGCGUGGUGAGGUGACAAGAACAGCCUUUCUGAUCAGUUUGGAGGUUAAAAAGACUUGUGGAAUGAUUGGGUCAUGAGAAGCACAUGGUUUAUUUCAGUAAAGCUUCUUUUACAUAAGCAAGUUUUAGUCUAAAGAAAGAUUUCACAUUAAGGGAAAGUAGAAUUACAGAUUGACUCAGCACUUCAUUUACAUGUCUUUAAAAAGUGGCUAAGAAAAAUAGUCCCCUUUGUAAGGGGCUAUUGUAAGAAAAUGAUUGCAAGAAAAACCCCAUAGUAAUUGUAAGAUGAUUGUAAGAAAAACCCCAUAGUAAAUACAAAACCAUAGAAGCCCUUUUUGUA